rnacentral:rRNA from 1 species
GCCGGAUUAAUACCGCAUACGCUCUACGGAGGAAAGGGGGGGAUCGCAAGACCUCCCGCUACAGGGGCGGCCGAUGGCAGAUUAGCUAGUUGGUGGGGUAAAGGCCUACCAAGGCGACGAUCUGUAGCUGGUCUGAGAGGACGACCAGCCACACUGGGACUGAGACACGGCCCAGACUCCUACGGGAGGCAGCAGUGGGGAAUUUUGGACAAUGGGGGAAACCCUGAUCCAGCAAUGCCGCGUGUGUGAAGAAGGCCUUCGGGUUGUAAAGCACUUUUGUCCGGAAAGAAAUCCUUUGAGUUAAUACCGAGGGGGGAUGACGGUACCGGAAGAAUAAGCACCGGCUAACUACGUGCCAGCAGCCGCGGUAAUACGUAGGGUGCAAGCGUUAAUCGGAAUUACUGGGCGUAAAGCGUGCGCAGGCGGUCCGCUAAGACAGAUGUGAAAUCCCCGGGCUUAACCUGGGAACUGCAUUUGUGACUGGCGGGCUAGAGUAUGGCAGAGGGGGGUAGAAUUCCACGUGUAGCAGUGAAAUGCGUAGAGAUGUGGAGGAAUACCGAUGGCGAAGGCAGCCCCCUGGGCCAAUACUGACGCUCAUGCACG